rnacentral:rRNA from 1 species
UACGUAGGGUGCGAGCGUUGUCCGGAAUUAUUGGGCGUAAAGAGCUCGUAGGCGGUGUGUCGCGUCGGCCGUGAAAACCUGCAGCUUAACUGUGGGCUUGCGGUCGAUACGGGCAUCACUGGAGUUCGGCAGGGGAGACUGGAAUUCCUGGUGUAGCGGUGAAAUGCGCAGAUAUCAGGAGGAACACCGGUGGCGAAGGCGGGUCUCUGGGCCGAUACUGACGCUGGAG